CAACGUGCAACCAAAAUUUGCUAGUGUAUUUGCGCAUUUGUUAGCUAGCUUCAUGAUAAAAAUGGUACACCAUGAUGUCCCACUCCAAAUCUAGGAGCCGACAAAUCUUAUCAACAAUCGCUUUUCUAACAAGACUACCACACUUCUUCGAAGAGAUGGCUUCGGUCACAACCAUGGAGUCCACAUACAAAUCAACAUUGUAAUUAAGCCUCGAAGCCAAGCUAAGACCUUCCAAAACAUUCCAUAAUUCCGCCAAAAAAACAUUACCAUGUCAAACAAACCUUGCAAAACCCCUUUAACCCCUAAACUUGGCUCUUCUAGUUAAGUGGAGGUUGAGGACUCAAGGGUAAUUUUAAGACGAGACAUACACUUUAUGAUGAAGGGCAUUCCUUGUUGUUAAGUGCGGUAGUCAACUCUCUCAAUCUUUGGUUGGUAGCUGUAUUAGAGCGCGCUAAUCAUUAAUUGUUACUCAACUUGGUGAAUACAUGUUUCUCUGUUAGGUUUUUCUAUUGAAUCGACCUCAAAUUGGUUUUCGGAAGAGGUAUAGAAUGUGGUUGGAAAUGGUCUAUAAUCCUCCUUCUGAGGAUGGUUGUAUCAAGAGACAAUGUGUCAUCACGAUUUCUCAUUCAAUGUGGUAUUCAAUAAUUAGCUAGUUUGGGCUAAGGUUUGAAAUGUCACAUGUUACAUUUAUUCUCAGUGUUUGGCUUCUUCAGAGGUGUCUCUCACCUAAAACAUUGCUUAACUUUGAAAUUGUGGUGUGGAUGAUCUAGAAAUUGCAGAAUAAUUCUAUUUUGGGGUCCUUUAGGAACUCCCUUGUAUUUUCGGUGUCUCUUUGUACUUUCUACGAAUAGGUUAUUGAACCGUCC
rnacentral:lncRNA from 1 species